rnacentral:rRNA from 1 species
CCCUUAGAUGUCCUGGGCCGCACGCGUGCUACACUGACGCCUACAGCGAGUACUUCCCAGCCCCGAAAGGCGGCUGGUAAUCAGCAAUAGGCGUCGUGAUGGGGAUAGAUCUUUGGAAUUCUGGAUCUUGAACGAGGAAUGCCUAGUAAGCGCGGGUCAUUAGCCCGCGUUGAUUAAGUCCCUGCCCUUUGUACACACCGCCCGUCGCUCCUACCGAUUGAGUGGUCCGGUGAAAGCCUCGGACCGUGGCAGCGUUGCUUUAUUGGAGCGCCGCCGUGGGAAGUUGUUUAAACCUUACCAUUUAGAGGAAGGUGAAGUCGUAACA